UGGGGAAUAUUGGGCAAUGGGGCGAAAGCCUGACCCAGCAACGCCGCGUGAAGGAAGAAGGUUUUCGGAUUGUAAACUUCUUUUAUCAGGGACGAAGAAAGUGACGGUACCUGAUGAAUAAGCCACGGCUAACUACGUAGCCAGCAGCCGCGGUAAUACGUAGGUGGCAAGCGUUAUCCGGAUUUACUGGGUGUAAAGGGCGCGUAGGCGGGGAUGCAAGUCAGAUGUGAAAUCCCCAGGCUCAACCUGGGAACUGCAUUUGAAACUGUUGGUCUUGAGUAUCGGGGAGGUAAUCGGAAUUCCUUGUGUAGCGGUGAAAUGCGUAGAUAUAAGGAAGAACACCAGUGGCGAAGGCGGAUUACUGGACGACAACUGACGGUGAGGCGCGAAAGCGUGGGGAGCAAACAGGAUUAGAUACCCUGGUAGU
rnacentral:rRNA from 1 species